GGCAGCACCUGCAGGAGCAGAGGCUCAGAGCCCCACUGGCCUCCCCACAGGGCGCCCCUCUGUCCACCCACAGGGUGGCUGACUAACCACAGCACCUGUCUUCAGCCAGGAAGCUGAGGGUCUCUGGAGCAGGGUGAAGGGAGCACGCAGACCUGCCCACCUCCCUCCUGCCAGGACAGCCCCUGGGAGCAUCCUUUGCCCCUCUGCCCACCUCCAUGUGGGCUGGGCUAUCUCUGCUGGCCCCAGCCAUGCCCUCAGUGGGUGUCCUUGGACUUGGUCCCUAAGGGGCUGUGGAGUGGCUCUGGGCCCAGCUCCCACCCCAUUCCCCACCUGAGUUGGGAGACUGACUGUUCUCUGACUGCCUGGCUCGGGGCCAGAAGGUCAGUGGUGCAUUCCUGCCCUGGGUUGGGCGGCCCCCACAUGGAUUCUGGGGAAGGAGGCAGGCCCCUUCCUACUGAGAGCAAAAUGAAUAGAAAUAGGGCUGUGCUUACAAAAAGAAGCCCAAUGAAAAUAAAUGAGCCAGUGGCCAGGGAGGAUCCAGAGAAUGAAGUCCCCCCUUUUCAGGCCCCUCUGUUCCCAGUGCUUGGCCAGAUUGCCUUGGCUCAAGUCUGACCCCUGACUUCUUUGCUGUGGGGCCUUGUGAAAACCCUCAGCUUUCCUGCAUCUGUAAGCUACAGAUUGUUAGGAGUAAAUUAGAUGAUGCUCAUCAAAGGUUUAGCCCAGUACCUAGCAUGUGUGUUAAGAAAGUGGGAACUGGAGUUCCCUGGUGGCUCAGUGGGUUAUGGACCCAGCAUUGUCAGUGCUGUAGCUCUGGUCACUGCUCUGGCGUGGGUUUGAUCCCUGGCCCAGGAACUUCAUACUGUGGGCAUAGCCAAAAAAAAGUGAGAACUGUAUGAUCGUUCUAGCCCCAGCCCUGCCACUCACUGACUUGGUGUAUGAUCUUAGGCAAAUUUCUUAUCCUUUCUGAUCCUGAGUCCCCAUGUGCUUCUUCCAGCCUUUAGAGUAAUUCAUUUAGCUCAAAAUCUGUGGCUCAGAACCCUCAGACCUUGGGUAGAACCAGCUACAUAAUUUAUGGGGCUCUUGUUCAUAAAGUAUUAAAGAUUUCAAAUUGGGGACAGAAGGGUAUUAAAUCAACCACAGGGCCCUCCUAAGUGAGGUUGCCUGUGCAUCUGCACAGAUCACGCUACCUAAAACCAGCCUUGCCUUGCAUUGCAGGCUGUGAGCAUAGGAGGCAGGGCUAGGGGUCUGGGCUGCUGCUGUAGCAGCAUUGACUCCUCACCCUUCUAGUCCAAGGGCAUGAUUUUUUUCAUGUUGUGGGUACAGAUGACAAGCUAGAGGCUGCCGCUCUCCCUGGGGCAAGCUGCAGAGGUACCCAUGCAGGCAGCAGCCCCACCACCACCUUACAGCUGAACACACCCCACCUUCCACCUUUGUGACUUUGGACUAGAAGUCAUGUUUGAGCUAUUGCUUGUUCUGUCUUAACCAUCUUAACCAUCGUGCUGUGCUUUUUCCAGAUGUCAUUCAUAUCACUUUCAUGGUUGUGCCUCUGUUUCUGCUGCUCUGUUUCAGGCCCUGUAUAUCAUGUAGGUCAAGUGACUACUUUUUUUGUAAAGGAACUGCUUCUUUGUGAAGUACUGUUAGCUCUGGAGGGCUCUGGUAAAGAUUUGGCUAUUGGCCGAGUUCCCUGGCGGCCUAGUCAAAAAGAGAAAAGACACAUGUGGCGUCUGUUGGAGAGCUAAGAAAUCUAGCCCUAUGCAAAGUUCAGUUGUACAAAAGGAGAGAAAAGACUGAAAUACAACAGUUAUUUAGAAAUCAGUUCAGGAGUUCUCUUCGUGACUCAGCAGUUAACUAACCUGACUAGGAUCCAUGAGGAUGCAGGUUCAAUCCCUGGCCUCACUCAGUGGGUUAAGGAUCCGGCGUUGCCAUGAGCUGUGGUGUAGGUCGCAGAUGGGGCUCGGAUCCCGAGUGGCUCUGCCAGCCUACACCACAGCAAUGCCAGAUCCAAGCCGCAUUUGUAACCUAUACCACAAUUCAUGACCACACCAGAUCAAGGCCAGGGAUUGAACCCGCAUCCUCAUGGAUGCUAGUCGGGUUUGUUAACCACUGCGCCAUGAGGGGAAUUCCCAUUUUGCUCUUAAAGCAACCCUGCAAAGAAGACAAGGAAGACAUUUUUUUCCCCAUUUCGCAGGAGGAGAGGCUCAGAGAUUUGCUAAAUGCCCCAGAAUCAGUGAGCUAAGUGGCAGGCUAAGCACAAGAACCAAGAUUUUUUAAAAAAAUUCUUGCUCCAGUUCCUCUUGGUCCUAUAUGCCUCCCAAACUGUUGACCUUCUUCACUUGAGUUUCAGAUAUUGAGCAUCUAUUCGAAUGGUUUUCCUUGGAAAGGCAGUCUGUUUCUCUGGAAAGAUUUGUUUCAGCUGUGGUGCACUUGAGUGGAGACUAGUGGGUUUCUCUUUUCUUUUUUUCAAGACUAGCAGGUUUCUGCUAGAAGAGCCUAGGACAUGAAACUAGUGUCUUGGAGACCAAUGGGCCCAGAAUGCUCGAUUUUACACGAUGUGAACGUUGAGGCCCAGAGAAGUCAAGCCACUUGCCCAAGGUCACACAGCCAGUUCUCAGCAAAACCAGUUGUGCAGAUUCCCAGUCUCAUGCACCUUGCUUUCCACCAAGACCCAGGACUCUGUUCUGUAGGGUCCUUGGUUCUGUCACUAGAGUGGCGGGAGACAGCAGGGAAGGCAGGAAGCAGUUGGUUUGUGUCACUCACAGCUGCUUGUGUGGCUGCGCCUGCCUCUCACUCCUUCACCCUGUCUCUCUAUCUCGCUGUUUUCCCAGCCCUGAGCCAGCAGCCUUGUCUGCCUCCUGGCUGGGGCGGGAGGGAGGGUUGUGGGCCAGGGGCUUCUCCUCUGUUCAUUGUAAUGGGGCAGAGGAGGGUCCUUCCCGCCCUGGGCGAGGGCUUGCUCAGGUAGGCUGGAGAGAAGGUACUCCAAGGGGGGGGAGGGGGGAAUUUGGGGUGGGAGCCGUGGAACUGGUUUAAUUCUGUGGAUCCGGGGGACUGGGAAAUAAAUCACGUUUUUAAAAGACUUUUCUUUUUAAAAGACAGGCUUAUUUCUGGUCCACUUCCCAUUUUCCUUUGGAAAGAGGGAAGGCCUGCUUAUUGGGGGGAAGAGGUGGGCACAAGCUUGGGUUGUUCCAUGCUUAGGAGUGGGGCUCAGUUUCCAAAGGCUGGGGGAUCUUUUCCUGUCCACCAUCCCUAGCCUGCCCAGAUGCCCAUACCUUAAAGGCCUGGAAGGACAUCAGACACUUCAAGCUGAUUGUUUAAAAAAAAAAAAAAAAAAAAA
rnacentral:lncRNA from 1 species